rnacentral:rRNA from 1 species
UAGGGAAUCUUCGGCAAUGGACGAAAGUCUGACCGAGCAACGCCGCGUGAGUGAAGAAGGCUUUCGGAUCGUAAAACUCUGUUUUUAGAGAAGAACAAGGACGUUAGUAACUGAACGUCCCCUGACGGUAUCUAACCAGAAAGCCACGUCUAACUACGUGCCAGCAGCCGCGGUAAUACGUAGGUGGCAAGCGUUGUCCGGAUUUAUUGGGCGUAAAGCGAGCGCAGGCGGUUUCUUAAGUCUGAUGUGAAAGCCCCCGGCUCAACCGGGGAGGGUCAUUAGAAACUGGGAGACUUGAGUGCAGAAGAGGAGAGUGGAAUUCCAAGUGUGGCGGUGAAAUGCGUAGAUAUAUGGAGGAACACCAGUGGCGAAGGCGGCUCUCUGGUCUGUAACUGACGCUGAGGCUCGAAAGCGAGGGGAGCGAACAGG